rfam:Oryza sativa (indica cultivar-group) chromosome 2, whole genome shotgun sequence.
AAAAAGUCAAACCAUGGGUUUCCGUGUCCAAUUUUUACUGUCCGUUUUAUAUGAAUUUUUUUUAUAAUUCGUAUUUUCAUGUUGCUAGAUAAUAAAACAUGAUUAAUAUUUUAUGCGUGACUUGUCUUUUUAAUUUUUUUCAUAAUUUUUUCAAAUAAGACGGAUGGUCAAACGUUGGGCACGGAAACAGGGUUUGUCUUUUU